rnacentral:rRNA from 1 species
UACGUAGGGUCCGAGCGUUGUCCGGAAUUACUGGGCGUAAAGAGCUCGUAGGUGGUUUGUCGCGUUGUUCGUGAAAACUCACAGCUCAACUGUGGGCGUGCGGGCGAUACGGGCAGACUAGAGUACUGCAGGGGAGACUGGAAUUCCUGGUGUAGCGGUGGAAUGCGCAGAUAUCAGGAGGAACACCGGUGGCGAAGGCGGGUCUCUGGGCCGAUACUGACGCUGAGGAGCGAAAGCGUGGGUAGCGAACAGG